GGUAUCAGUGGUCAUUUAGAGG
rnacentral:rRNA from 1 species